CAAAUUAAAUAUACAUUUUAAUCUAAUAAAGUUUUUUUUUCCCCACUAGUAUUACUUAUUUCUUUCUUUACUUUACAUCCUAGUAUUGUACUGUAACAUUGGUAAUUGAAUUAUUAUUUUUGGUUUUCAGCUAUGCGUGCACCAUAUUGCGUACCACAACCACAAAGUCAUGAAAUAAGCUAUUACCCUCAAAAUCCAAAAGUGCUUCUACCUGCAGUAGGUUAUAGAAGGAACCAUGCUGAGAAAGUUAUGUCAAACUCAAAUGGCAUGUCAAAUAUCUGCAAUAGUCCAAUGGUAUAUAAUGAAAACAUGCAACAGAGAAUCCUAAACCCUAAUUAUGACUUUGGUUACAGUAAUCAAGAAACAUUGGAUUUGUUUCCUCUGCAUCCAACUGGCAUAUUGGAAGGGAAAUCAACUGACCAGGUGUCUUCUAUUGUUUCAGUUUCUGCUGAUAGUUCCACUGAUACACAUUCUGGUUCUUCUCAUCAUGAGAUCAAUCAAGAUCAUGGUUAUAAUGGGAACAAACCCUUCUUUGACUUUUUUAAUAAUUCUGCAGGACAAGGUUCUUAGGAUAGUUUGCAAGUUUUUUUUAAUGUUUUCUUGCUAUAAGUACAAACAUGCAAUUUCUAGUUUUCCACAUUUUCUUAAUCAAUGAAAUUAGUUUAUGUUCUUUAGUUUAUUAGUAGUACUAUAUUUUAGUAUUUCCACCUUUUUUUAAUUUAAAGAAAAAUUAAAGUACUAUAUAUAGAGUUGACAUAUUAUGUGAGUAUGGAGUAUUUUAUUUCCAUGUUUCAUGCACAACGUCCAUCCAUAAAACAAUUCUUUUUGCAGGCUUUGAAAACAUAGAAAUUGAAAUAUAUGUUUCAGUUUGUGCAUGCCACUUAUUUUAUUGGUGGAAAUGGAAAAGAACAACUAGCAAAUGGAGAAAAUUUGAGAACAAACAUAACACUUGAUCCUUAUUGACAUAUAUUUUUUUUAACAUCAAACACAAAUUUUAUUGAUCCUUAUUGACAUAUUUGGAGAUUUUUUUUUUUUUUAUUUCUAAAGUAAGAAUUCAUUCACCCAAACAAAUCUUUCUACAUUUGUAGUUAAUACACAAAUACUUGGCAAAUUUAAUUGGCGGACAAUCAUCAUCAAUUUGACAUUCAAUAAGUGCUGUAAUAAAAAAGAGAAUAAAAUAUUGUUACUAAGAAGAUAUAAAAAGACUAUGUAAGAUUAAAGAAGGAAAUUCGAAAGUCGACCAAAAAAAAAAAUAGGAAAUUUGAAAACAAUGAAAAAAUAGGUCACAACUCACCGCUGUCUAUGUUCGUUGCCAUAAGAAAUAAGGAAAGAAAUAUAAUCAUAGCAUACACAAACUUAAGAGUUUUAGCCAUAUUUUCCUAUCAAACCAUGUAGCAAUAGAAUAUUAUUUGAUCAUUUUAUAGUGUAUAAAGUGCAUGUUGAGCUAAAUACAUUAAAAUACUUUUAGAACUUAAGGUGCUAUAAAAAAACCUCUCUAAAAUUAGAACUGAUAUUAAGUGUCUCUUAAAAACAUUGAGGGGUAGUGUUUGACCCUUUAUCACAAUUAAAUGUUAUUUGCAAAUAAUUAGAUUUCAUUCUUUUUUUACUUAACUUUUCAUCUUUUGAUGAUAGAAAGGGGAAAUUUAAAAAUAAUAAUAAUGCACAAUCUGUGUGACAAAUAUUUACGUACAAGUUUUUUUAUAAGAAAGUUACGUACAAGUUAAAAAUAAAUCAUUUGACCAUAGGCGAAUGAAUAUAAAAUUUUGUUGUUACAUGAUUUUUCCAACAUUCUCAUUCACAAUGAUAUAAAAAAUAUAUUUGGAUCUACGAAAUCACACUACAUUUUUUAAAGAGACUUCUUAUUGGUGCUUUGUAAGUUCCUAAUUUGAUUUGUCCCUAAACCAAGUGUAUUAAUAUACAAAAUAAUUCGGUAUUGAAUACUAUAUAAAACAAUAUUUUGAAAAGAUUUUCUUUUUUUUAAGACAUAAACUCCAAGU
rnacentral:lncRNA from 1 species